rnacentral:piRNA from 1 species
UAAUGAGACCUGCAGAGAGGGAGCGU